UAAUAUUUUUUAUUAUAUUCAAAAUGCAUGAGUGUUGAGAAUACAUGAGUGUUGUGUUUGUAUAGUCCAACCAAAAUCAAAAGAAAGUAAUGAUGAGAAAACGCACGCGGAAGCAACACACACAAUCACGAAUCAAUUGCAGAAAAAUAAACGACACAAGAUUUAACGUGGUUCGGUCGUCAACUGCAACCUACAUCCACACGGGCAACUAUUAAAUUUUCAUUCUAUCUUGUUGCGCACCAAUUACAAGUACAAUGAUCUCUUUAAGUAGAGAUAAAUAAAGAUAAUAAAAGGGACACAAUGAUUAAGCCCACCCACUAAAACAUGGUGUCUACUCAACCCAACCCAAUUGGUCAUGACUUCAUACCCAACAAGUAAGUGAUUCAAGAAUAUCAAUUACAAUAUCAACACAAAUUUGUCAUCCAUUACAAUAUCAAUAUAUAAUUUAAUUGUGUAAGAAAUUCUUAAUUAAUUUAGAUUAUGUAGUCACCGUCACCACCUUCUGUAUGAAUCAAGAUAAAAAAUAAUUUAAAUAUAUUUUUCUCUUUCUUAAAACUGUAAUAGAGAUCAAAACUUCAAACUAACAAUAUCUAAAAUGUGUUAACUAAAAUCAUUUAAAUGGAUUUGAGAUUGAAAAUAGAGGAUUCGUUCCCUUAUUCCCAAUAAACUUGUCAUUGAAAAAUUCCAAUCAUAAAAAUUUACUAAUCACUCAUAAAAGUUAAGUGAUUGUCAUUCUCAUUCUCUUUCCUAUGUCUAAUUUGCUUCUUGAAAAAAAUCUUGUAAACAUGUUUUUCAUUUAUUUCAUAUAUGUAUAACGUGUUUUUAAUUAAAUAUUUCCCUAAUCAAGAGAUGAGUGGUGUGAAUAAAUGGUUUUGAAGCAUGAGAUUGAGAAUGAAUGGUGAGCAAUUUGAAGCAUGAGUUGAUUGAGGUAAGAGACUAAGUUGAUCCAUGAUUGGGCAAGAGAUGAGAGAGGCUUGGCGUGCCGUAUUCAUUCAAUUCUCUAUCUUGUCUUUUCCACAUAAGGACUCCUUCAUUUCUAUGAGCAUAGCAAGUGAUCAUAACAUGUGGGGAGUGGAACAAAGAGCCACCAUUUUAACAACAAUAAACUUCAAAAGGUAGUGUAGUUGUUAAUUUAAUUGUCCCAUUUAUUUCUUUAUCUAUUACCAUUAUUAUUGCAUCACAAUAAUUUUUCUUUUGGGAGGAGGAUCUAUUUCCAUGGCCCAUUGGAACUUCAAAUGUGUGAUAUCAAUGCCAUAAAGAGUUGGAUGGACAGAGACCACUUUAAUCACUAAACUUAUUGCUACAAAAAGUAUUUGACAAGAACUUAUUUCCUUUUUUUAAUUUUUUAUUUGGGUAGCUGCAUAUUUAAUUGCAAUAUUGUUUAUGUUUUAUAUGAAACCAAAAUCAUUAUUCCAACUCAUUUACAUUUGAAAUUUAAACCAGUUAAACUAUCUCUUUUAAUUGAAUCAUUGAUCAUUUGCAAAAAAAAAAAAAUUACUUAUAACUUUAAAAUAUCACAAAUUAUAUUUCGGUUUAAUAACUCCUUUUCAAUUUCUUUUAUUCUAUGUUUUUAAAAGCUAAUUAGCAUAGUUAGUUCCAUCAAAUUAAUGGUAAUGAACAGUAACACAGACAUGAACAAUAAGAGUCGUGUUAAGUGAGAUGUGAUAUGAAUAAGUGAUAUCUUCAUCUUUUAAAAAAGUGGGAUAAAUUGAUAAUAUUAAAAAAAUAGAGCAAAGUUAAAAAAUAUUAUAAUGAUAAAAAAUCUAAUAAACCCUUAUUUGAGUUAAAUUUGUUGGGUAUCAGAACGAAUUGGGUUGGGCUGAUUAGACACCAUGUUUAGUGAGUGAUUUAAUAUUUUUUCUUUUAUUAUCUUUACUUAAAGAGAUUGCCUGUAUUUUUGUACGCAACAAGAAAUAAAUAAAACUUAAUAAUUGCUCGUGUGGACGUAAAUUGUUGUUAACGAUUGAACCAUGUUAAAUCUUGUGUCAUUUAUUUUUUUUAGUUGAUUCGUGAUUGUGUGUUCUUGUGUUUCUAUUAAAAUUGUUUUGAAAAAGUAUUGAUAAUUUAACCUAAAUUAUACCCUGGAUUCAAAUCUGAUAGAAAGUGUUUUGUAUAGGCAUAGCAAAGUGACAACACGAAAAAGCAGUUUCCACUCUCUUUGUCUCACCAAAACAGGUACUAUUAUGGCUGUUUGGCAACAUCCUUCUACACAUUCUUCACUUUUUUCCCCUAAAAUCUUCAACUGGACCCAUCUUUUUUAUCAACACUAAGACAUUUAAAUUUUAAAUCUUAAAAUUAUAAAUUAAUUUUUAAUCUCACUUAGUCUUGUACUUACUUUGUUUGUUUGGAUUAAAUAAUGGAUGUGAGUGAAAAAGAAAAAAAGGAAAGUAGAAAGUGAGAUGAUUUAGAUGAAGAGAAAUAGGAUGGAAAAUAAAAAUAAGAUUUGUGAAAAAUUGUGAAUUAUUUGAUAGUUAUAAUAAAAUUUAAAAAAUUAUAAAAUAAUCUUUUAGAAAUGUAGAUUAGAAUUAAAAAUUAAUAUUAAAUAUUAAUAAAAAUACAUAUUAAUAAUUCAAUUUAAAUUAAUUUGUUGUUUAUUUAUUUUAUUAUAAUAUAAAAAUAUAUAUUAAUAAUUUAAUAAACAAAUUAUAAAUAUUAUAUAUGUAUAUUAAAACAUAUUUUUUUAUACAUAAUCAACAUAUAUAAUUUAUUAAUUUGUAUAAAAAAAUAACGCAUAAUCAAACUUUUCUUCCAAAUCUCUUCAAAAAUACGAAGAAAAUUUCAGAUAAGUCUCCUAAAGUCUCUUGAAAUUUUUAACAUAACUUCAUAUUUAGGCUAUUAUUCUUUAUGAAUUGUUAAUAUAGUGAUUGACUCUUUCAAUAGAUUUAGAAUAACCUCUGUUCUUAUAACAAUUUAGAAAAUAAACUUUAAAUUUCACAAUUCUAUCAAGAAAAUACCUUAUAAAAUGAGUUCACAUUCAACAAUUAUAUAUUAUAAUUUAAAAAUCAAUAUUUAAAGAAAAAAAAUUAUAAAUAAAACACAUUAUGUAGAAUGUUGUGAUUUAGUCAAUAUUAAUAUUAGGCCAAGUUUGAAUUGGUGGUCACAAUAAGUAUAUGUAUAUAUUUUUCAAUCCCAUAUUGUUUAAUCACUUACACAUCAGAAAAAGUCAAAUUUGAUUAAAGCAUUUUUCUCAUGAGAUAGGCAUAUAUACGUCGCAUCAUAUUAUUAAUUUUAUGUCAUACACGUUUUUUUAAAAUUAAAUUAUAACAAUAUUUCUUAAGAUGUUUUUUAAAUUAGGUUAAAAAUCUCACAUUAAUUAGAUAUAAGAAUAUUUCACUGUAUAUAACUGGGUGCAAAUCUCAUUUCAUGAGCCGAUUUUAUGAAAUUGAAUUAGGCUUAAAGUACAUAUAUUCUAAUUCAAAAUCUCAUUUAAUUAAAACCAAAUACAACUCUUUGGCAUGCUAAUUACUUUUGUGUUUGAUUCAUAGAAUAUAAUUAUUUUUAUUGGUUAUGUAAUAAAAAAUUUAGAAUCAAAUAAUGGUUACUAACGAAGCAAGAGUGACCCAAAACAUGUUUUAUAAUGAACAUAAAUACUAUAUUAUACGCUUUAAUUUUACCAAUAAGAUGUGAUUUGAAAAGGAUAAAUAAUCACUUCUCAUUACGUGAAAGAUCGUAAAGAGGUCAUAAAAAUGAACAUGGCUUACUCAGAUUCUUCAUUUUCAGUAACAUCUUGUUGUGCCAUUAAUUCGGGUGUUGGGGAAGAUGCAUUCAUAAGAAAAUAAUCAUUGAUGAACAAAAGUCAAUGCAUUUUAUUCUUCCUUGAGUGCCUUCAAAAUGGUCACCAAUCCCAACGUCACAAAUAGUACCAUGUAAAUUAUAAUUUUUAUUUUAAUGGGUACACAUUAAAUACAUCUUCUUUAUCUAUCUUGAGUCAUAAUUUCAAAAUUUUAAAUUUUAUAAAAAAAUUCUUUAACAAUUAAAUAAAAUUAUAUUAAGAAGUGAAAUUUAAGUUUAACUCAACUUUAUGUGAAAUUUGCACUUAUGCUCUUAUUUAUAGUCAAUAUAGGAUCUUCAACACACUUCUCUCACGUCGAUGUUGUCAAUUUAUUCAUGCAACUAUAUAUUUACAAAUGGUCCGAUAGUGGAUAACCUCUUAAAUCCAACAAAUUUUCGUUAAGAUAAAUUAUAAUUAUGAUAUCAUAUUAACAACUGAACCUUAACUUAAAUCAACCUUCAAAAAUCGGUUUAUAAGAUAAGAUUUGCUUCCGCUCAUAUAUUAUGAAAUGUUUUUAUCUUUAGUCGAUGUAAAAUCUAACGAAUUAUAAAAUAUUUAUAUUAGACUAAAAAUUGAAAAAAAAAAUCUUAAAAUAAUAUAAUGAAGUGGGAACUAUAGAAAUAAACUAAAACGUGAUGUCACUACUCUUAUAUAAAUCACAAAUCUAUUAUUUAUAAAAAUCUAAUUAUAGUUUAACUUUUAAGUUUUCUAACAUUUAACAAUUUUCUACAAUAUUAAUCUCAUUGUUAGUAGUGAUCUACUUAUACAUAAAUUAAAUGUGUAAUUAAAUUGUUGUAAGAACUAAACAAAAACAAAAAAAAGUGAAUUUAAGUUUUGUUUAUAAGAUUUUGUUGUAUAGAAAGUGUGGCAUGAGAAUGAGACACAUAAUGGUGGUGGUGGCACGCUCCCUAGCAUGCACAAUCCUAUUGAAUCAUUGGGACAAAGAGGCAGAAUAGUAUAUUGCUUAAGCAAUGCUGCAUUGUCUCACCCUUUUUUUCCUUUUUUUCUUUCACUUUUUUCUUCUUCUUCUUCUUCUUUAUAUUCUCUAUGGUAAAUCUCUUGAGUUUGUCGUAAUUUAUAAAUAUUAGGGUAAUCAUGAUGUUUCCUUGGUCUUUGCUCACUAAUUAUUUUGUUGUGUUUGCAAUCAAUUAAGGUAUAAAUGAUUUGGGAUCCUAGUAAUAAAAUACACUUACAUCGAGCCAUCCAACAAAAAAAGUGAAAGAGACCCAAAAAAGAUAAAAGAAAAAAUAAAAUAAAGAAAAGAAAGAGAUUUGUCUAUGUGCUUUCUUUUCAAUCAUAAAUGAUUAAAUGCAAUUAACCUACUAAGUUAUGCCCAUGUUGCCUGUCUGACAUGCACCCUAAUGGGCCCCAUCUUAGUCCUAUAGCUCCUCACUUAUUUAUAAUAAUCUACCAAUUAAUUAACAAUAACAAUAGUAUUUAUUUCAACUUUAAAUUUAUUAAGAUAAUAUAUUAUUAUUGUAUUCGAAGUAUUGUUGAUUUAUAAUUUUUUUUAUGAUAAAUUAAAUUUAUUGAGAUAAAAUAUUCUAUUACAGGAUGGUCGAGAGGCUGAAUAGUCAACAAGGCCGAAUAAAUCUAAGAAUAAACAAUAAAUACAUGAUUGACUGUAAUUAAAACAAUUUAGGUAUAAAUUAUGAUUAAGUCACAAUUGGGUCCUCGUCUGAAAUCCAAGAGCAGACCCAUUAUAAUUGAGACUCAUUCCAAAGUUAUAAAUAUUAGAGAAGACUCAACGUCAAAGGUAAUCUUUCACUCUUAACUAAUCGACAUAUUGUACUCAGACUAACUUGAGCGUCGGAGCACCUUCGCGGAUACCCCACUCCACUUUUUUGUUGAAAAAGGACUUACAAGACGGAAAGACGUGAGAACGAAGCUACAAGAGUCAUUCUGAAAAGGAAAUAUUAUUAUUAUAAUUCAUUGUUUAAUUUGAGAUACUAUACAUUUUCAAAUUAAGCAUUUUUGUGAAG
rnacentral:lncRNA from 1 species